CUUUGGUGAUGAUAAGAUGACGAGUCAGAAGUGGGUGGCUCUUGCUGCGGUACCUCUGCAGUGUCAUUUUCUGUGUGAUGCUGCGUGUGGUUCUUCAGCAGGAGCAUCCUGUCAUCAUUGAAUGAUUUAGAGGCAUUUGUCUGAGAAGG
ensembl:snoRNA SNORD15 Small nucleolar RNA SNORD15